AAAGCUCUUUUCAAUGAUAGUUUUUUUAAAUUCCAUUCAUUCAUUUUCUUAGCCGCUUAACCUCACGAGGGUCGCAGGAGAGCUGGAGCCUAUCCCAGCUGUCAACAGGCAGGAUCCUGGUAAUGUGUAAUGAAAAAUCUGGUACUUACAUUAAUAUAUUGACUUAUUUUGCAGGCAAAGCUACCUCUGCAAAUCCAUCGAAGAAAAGAUGUGUUCAUCUUGAGAGUGGUACACAAUUUUAGUAGAUGGAAUCUUCCUACACAACCAAAUAUAUUUUAAAUAUCUAGAAACACUGAACUCCACCAUUGAGGAUAUAAAUUCCAUCAAUUAAGGGUGCGGGCUGUGCCGAUUACAUUUAUGAAUAAUCCAAAAUAUCUUUUCUUUUUUCUUAACAUGUGUGUUAUGGUACCCACCCAACUUCCUUGGGGCAGAAUAAGACAGAUAUAGUAAAAGUGACCAGUAAGUUAUUUUUCCCCAGUUGUGUAUGCUGGAAUCAUAAUUGGGAUGUCUCAUUUAAUUCUCUCACUGCAUGCAUAUCAACAGUGUAAUUCAUUGAUGUAGUAUUUUUUAUAUAAAUGUAUAAUUUCAGGUGUUUUAAUUUUUUAAAGCGUCCAGGAAUUCAGUGAAUUUAUGUCAUGACUAUAUCAACUUUUCAGUGGUGUGAUAUUGCAGGUCAUGGUUUAUUUUUUUACAGCACCCAAAACCUCCUGAAGUGGAAGAUUCGGAAAGCGAUGCCAGUGCUGUAAUUGCACUGCAAGACCACCAAAGCAGUGGAACAGGUGGUCUACUGUUACCAUGAAGAACCCCAAGAUAUUCAAAACAAAGACAUCUACCAUCAACCUCGAGCCAUCCACAACCAAACAUGAGCCUCUAACCAUUCCUCCAAAGAGAGUUGGCCCAUUGUUCCAAAAAAGGGAUGAUCCUGCUUACUGAGUUAAGGGACACCGGUAGGCAUCAAGACCACAGGGCAGCACAAGAAGAGGAGAUCGAUCGACAUUGUACAGAUAAAAUAUCUGGCCGAUUUCAUUGUCCUUGAACAGAAGGUGAUGGAAGACCCCUGUGCUUCUGCAGAACUGCUAUGAUUAAAAAUUCCAAAUGUUGAAAGUUGGAUGGGUACCCCUCAAGGAAAAUAUCAAACGGAUCCUGAAGAGACUUCUGAACAAUGCUCUUUCUAUAAACAAAAUAUGGAUUCUUGAAUGUGUCUUGAGAAGCCACGAGGGGACCCUGAGUGAUGUACAAAGUGCGGCCAUGUCGUGCCUAAAAUAUGUGCCUGACAGAUGUGGUGGCACUGGGAAGAAUCUGGACGGGAGGAACCAGGAUGGACAGUAAA